rnacentral:rRNA from 1 species
UACGUAGGGAGCAAGCGUUGUCCGGAAUCAUUGGGCGUAAAGCGCGCGUAGGCGGCCCUGUAAGUCCGUUGUGAAAGUCAAAGGCUCAACCUUUGAAUGCCGAUGGAUACUGCAGGGCUAGAGUCCGGAAGAGGCGAGUGGAAUUCCUGGUGUAGCGGUGGAAUGCGCAGAUAUCAGGAGGAACACCAACGGCGAAGGCAGCUCGCUGGGACGGUACUGACGCUAAGGCGCGAAAGCGUGGGGAGCGAACAGG